UACGUAGGGGGCUAGCGUUGUCCGGAAUCAUUGGGCGUAAAGAGCGUGUAGGCGGUCCGGUAAGUCCGCUGUGAAAGUCCAGGGCUCAACCCUGGAAAGCCGGUGGAUACUGUCGGGCUAGAGUCCGGAAGAGGCGAGUGGAAUUCCUGGUGUAGCGGUGGAAUGCGCAGAUAUCAGGAGGAACGCCGAUGGCGAAGGCAGCUCGCUGGGACGGUACUGACGCUGAGGCGCGAAAGCGUGGGGAGCGAACAGG
rnacentral:rRNA from 1 species